CUUAUGCAACCUGACAGUUCAUGUCAGAUUUUCGUCAACACAAAACGUCCGGCAAUUUGGUUAAAGUUUGUUAAUUUCCAAAAUUUCGGCACAUCCAAACCACUAUUUGCCAUGAAAUACUCGAAGGGAACAUUGAUGAGAUUUCCCCUAAUUUUUGGAGGAAUAUUACUUGGAUUUUCAGUUGCAUUUUACAAUAGGGAUAAGUUCAUGACUGAUUUGGAGGAAGAACGAAAGAAGCUGGACCGAGAGGAGGAAGGUUCGCGGCAGAUCCUACUUGAGGCAAUGGAAACUGUGAACAAAGCUAGAGCUGCGAGGCAGCAGAACAAAUAAAGACGCAAUUUAAAAUGUUUUAUUUA